CACGUAGGGUGCGAGCGUUGUCCGGAAUUAUUGGGCGUAAAGAGCUCGUAGGCGGUGUGUCGCGUCGGCCGUGAAAACCUGCAGCUUAACUGUGGGCGUGCGGUCGAUACGGGCAUCACUGGAGUUCGGCAGGGGAGACUGGAAUUCCUGGUGUAGCGGUGGAAUGCGCAGAUAUCAGGAGGAACACCGGUGGCGAAGGCGGGUCUCUGGGCCUUACCUGACGCUGAGGAGCGAAAGCGUGGGUAGCGAACAGG
rnacentral:rRNA from 1 species